GGGCUGGACAGGAAGCGACGGAGACGCGCAGCGUGCGUCCUCGGCGGCUCCGGCACAGAAGAACGGGAAAGAGAAGGAGGGCGAGCGUGUAGACGAGGCAGCGUGUGGAAACAUGAGGAUAACGGGACCGUUUUCUUUUCGCUAGAUUCAUCUUUUAAACAGAUAACUACGCGCACCGGGAGGUUUUUUUUUAUUACCCCCCCCCCCCAUCCCGAGGUCGGCGGUGUUUGCUCCUCCCGCUGGAGAACAACAGGAGAAGAGAGGAUCUCCUUUGUGAAUCCGGCUUGAAUGUGGCUGUUCCUCACCCCCCUCCUUCCUCCCCCACCUCCUCUACUGUGUUACAGUCUGCUCCAUUCACCGUGUUAAAGUGAAAACUGUCUCAAAGCCCCGAGCCCACUUUUUUUUUUGCACACCUGUCUUUUAAGUUAAGCUGCACGCCGUCAGGGAAACCUCCUCCUCCCCCCUGAUACUGAUCUCAGCAUCCAAGGUUGGGGAAAGGGAAUGUCAUCCCAGUGGGAGUCCUCAGAACGCAAAACGGGGCAGUGAGUUAUGGUACCGUGUUUUCUCUCCCCGCCCCAACCUGCCCAUGAAACCCGGCACCAAGUGAAAAGCCGC
ensembl:lncRNA